rnacentral:rRNA from 1 species
UAGGGAAUCUUCCACAAUGGACGCAAGUCUGAUGGAGCAACGCCGCGUGAGUGAAGAAGGUCUUCGGAUCGUAAAGCUCUGUUGUUGGUGAAGAAGGAUAGAGGCAGUAACUGGUCUUUAUUUGGCGGUAAUCAACCAGAAAGUCACGGCUAACUACGUGCCAGCAGCCGCGGUAAUACGUAGGUGGCAAGCGUUGUCCGGAUUUAUUGGGCGUAAAGCGAGCGCAGGCGGAAUGAUAAGUCUGAUGUGAAAGCCCACGGCUCAACCGUGGAACUGCAUCGGAAACUGUCAUUCUUGAGUGCAGAAGAGGAGAGUGGAACUCCAUGUGUAGCGGUGGAAUGCGUAGAUAUAUGGAAGAACACCAGUGGCGAAGGCGGCUCUCUGGUCUGCAACUGACGCUGAGGCUCGAAAGCAUGGGUAGCGAACAGGAUUAGAUACCCUGGUAGUCCAUGCCGUAAACGAUGAGCGCUAGGUGUUGGGGACUUUCCGGUUCUCAGUGCCGCAGCAAACGCAUUAAGCGCUCCGCCUGGGGAGUACGACCGCAAGGUUGAAAC